rnacentral:rRNA from 1 species
CCUACGGGUGGCUGCAGUGAGGAAUAUUGGUCAAUGGACGAGAGUCUGAACCAGCCAAGUAGCGUGAAGGAUGACUGCCCUAUGGGUUGUAAACUUCUUUUAUAUGGGAAUAAAAUGUUCCACGUGUGGGAUUUUGUAUGUACCAUAUGAAUAAGGAUCGGCUAACUCCGUGCCAGCAGCCGCGGUAAUACGGAGGAUCCGAGCGUUAUCCGGAUUUAUUGGGUUUAAGGGGAGCGUAGGUGGAUUGUUAAGUCAGUUGUGAAAGUUUGCGGCUCAACCGUAGAAUUGCAGUUGAAACUGGCAGUCUUGAGUACAGUAGAGGUGGGCGGAAUUCGUGGUGUAGCGGUGAAAUGCUUAGAUAUCAUGAAGAACUCCGAUUGCGAAGGCAGUUCACUGGACUGCAACUGACACUGAGGCUCGAAAGUGUGGGUAUCAAACAGGAUUAGAUACCCGAGUAGUC